UCCCAUCCAUCGAAAUUGUCGAU
rnacentral:snRNA from 1 species